ensembl:lncRNA
AGCAAGUUUGGUGUGGAAAAAUCUGACCGGCCGGCACGGAGUCCUGACCUCAAUCUGACCGAAUGCUUUUGGGAUGAAUCAGAGUGGAGACUGUGAGGCAGGCCUUAUCAUCCAACAUCAGUGUCUGACCUCACAAAUUCUGAUACACUUGUAAACUUUGUAGAAAGCCUUCCCAUAAGAGUUGAAGCUGUUAUAGCUACAGUUCAUAUAUGUGUGAAGUGAAUACGUGGUCAUCUUGGCCACGUCUACAUGUCAAGAUGCAUCCACUGCAGUUUCACUUCAUAUUUCUCACAUCGUAUAUUUUAAAUUUCCACUAGGAUAUGUAUGUUCAUAAUGGAAUUCUCCCAAUGAGUCAGAAAUGCAAGGACAAAAACAGACAAUCAACAGAUAAUUUGGUAUAUUUCUAUUCCUGAUCCCUGAUAAAAAAAAAAAAAAAAAAGAGGUUCUUUCAUGUUUAAGAGAAGCACCUGAAUUCUCAGAAGAAAUGAUUCUUCCUCUUUCAUCUUUCAGCUCACAGCCGGAGAAGAGUCCCAACUCAGAGGCUCAGCAGAGGCAAGAUCAAUUAUUUCUGCACAUGAAAGAGGGAGAAGAGGAGCUCACAUUAAUGCUGGGUCCUUUCCCUCCAGCACAAAAUCUUUAUACUGAAACAGAAGGACUUACCAUCUGUCAGGCCCCUUCAUCAGACUGCUCUGCUUCUGCACAUGUAAAUAAAGAAUAAGAAGAUGAAGGCAUGCCAUGGAGCCUCCAGUCAGGUCGCUGCUGUCUCUGAAGAGUACUUGGCAGCAUGUGCAACAUCCAUGAAAAAUAUCUAAUCAUUUACAAUCUCACACUGAGAUAAACUUCUGCUGUGUUUGCUGUGCUUGUUUUAAAGAGGAUGUUGACCUCAUAAUACAUGCAAACAUGACAAAUCAUUCAGGCAGACAUAACAAGUGUUUGAUCCGAGUGUGCCCCUGUGUGUUCAUCAAAGAGUCCAUACAGGAGAGAAACUGCACUGUUGCCUCACUUGAUGCAGAACAGCAGCAAUUCAAGAUAUUACCUGAGAUAUUGUAGAGAUAAAAAAGUAAACAGCUCAUUUACGGUCCACUGUGCAAAGGUCAAAGAGAGAUCAUGUCUUCAGCUCGGUGUGCCAGGGAGCCAAGAGUGCCUGCUUCUUCUGACAACC